rnacentral:lncRNA from 1 species
CAAGCCUCAAUUUAGUCCUUAAAGUUUUAAUUGCCUUUAUUUAGUCCCCAAACUUUGUGAACAUAACUCAUGUUAGUCCUUUAAACGAUUUUCAACGUACAAACGUUAACGGAACACUAUCGUGAACAGCCGAAUGCCACACUAAACUUUGUAAAAUGAUGUCGUUUUAGUUUUGGCACUCAAAUAACCCAAAAACAACAUUGUAAAUAGUGUUUAUUAACAUUUUACCUAACAAAAUAAGUGAUACGAUGCCCUUUUUGAGCUAUUUAAAUGCCAAAACCAAAACUGCAUCAUUUUACAAGUUUUAACUAGUCUAUAACAGUGCUCCAUUAACGUUUUUAUACUAAAAAUCGUUUCAGGGACUAAUAUGAGGCACGUUUAUAAACUUUGGGGACUAAAUAGAGGCAAUUGAAACUUCAGGAACUAAAUUGAGACUCGCAUGUAAGUUCA